rnacentral:rRNA from 1 species
AAAUUUGGACAAUGGGCGCAAACCCGAUCCAGCCAUGCCGCGGGAGGGAAGAAGGCCUCCGGGUGGUAAAGCUCUUUCGUAUUGGAAGAAAACACGCAGCCUAAUAGCCCGCGCUGAUGACGCUACCGUCAAAAAAUGCACCGGCUCACUACCCGCCCGCAGCCGCGGUAAUACGUAGGGGGCGAGCGUUAAUCUGAAUUAGUGGGCGUAAAGCGUGCGCAGGCGGUUGAUUAAGACAGGCGUGAAAUCCCCGGGCUUAACCUGGGAACUGCGCGUAUGACUGGUCAGCUAGAGUGCGGCAGAGGGGGGUGGAAUGCAUCGUGUAGCAGUGAAAUGCAUAGAGAUGUAGAGGAACACCGAUGGCGAAGGCAGCCCCCUAGGCGGAUACUGACGCUCAUGCACGAAAGCGUGGGUAGCAAACAGG